rnacentral:snoRNA from 2 species
GUGGCAGGGAUAGUGUGUAUCAGCGCUGUGCUACACUAGAUGCACUCUGUUUCUGAAAGAAUUCCCUGCAAAAUCAAUUGUUGAGGAAGAUGGGCAGUUGUUUUUCAUCCUAGUCAUUGGAAUUAUCAACAAUCAUCUUCCAGACAUUA